rnacentral:rRNA from 1 species
AUUGAACGCUGGCGGCAGGCCUCACACAUGUAAGUCGAACGAGUGGCGGACGGGUGAGUAAUGUCUGGGAAACUGCCCGAGGGAGGGGGAUAACUACUGGAAACGGUAGCUAAUACCGCAUACCAUCGGAUGUGCCCAGAUGGGAUUAGCUAGUAGGUGGGGUAACGGCUUCCCUAGGCGACGAUACCUCUCUGGUCUUCGAGGAGGACCAGCAACACUGGAACUGAGACACGGUCCAGACUCCUACGGGAGGAAGCAGUGUGGAAUAUUGCACAAUGGGCGCAAGCCUGAUACAGCCAUGCCGCGUGAAUGAAGAAGGCCUUAGGGUUGUAAAGUACUUUCAGCGAGGAGGCGUUACUCGCAGAAGAAGCACCGGCUAACUCCGUGCCAGCAGCCGCGGUAAUAC